UCAUACAAUUCUGCCAUCUGGAUUAUGAAGAUUUUUGGUAUCACCACAUGGAAAGUCCACAAUAUACAAUGGCUCACCCCAGAUGUUUUACUGAUGUUUUAUCAUUUUCUGAGCCCAUUUCUGUAAUCCAGCAACAGCUCAAGCCAAAACAUUUUACUGGAGAAGCAAAACAUGAAGCUCCUAUCCUGCAUCUGUACUCCCAUGAAUAACCUUUCAGACCCCACACACAGACUGAUAGAGUCAAGAAGCAGUACUGGGCGAAGAGGGCCUACAGAAAAUGCUCCAAAUGGAGGAUCUGCUCAAAAGCCAAGUGAACUCUGUCAAAAAACUAGGCUAGAGGAUUGCUCGUUGAACAUGAGAGACGAAAGGCUCCAAUGACCAUCACUGGCAAUAAGAAGGAACUGGAGAGGCGGUGGAUUGGUGGGGCCCUAUAUACAGUGCUAUGAAGGCACAACUCCAGGGGGCUCCAGAGCUGACCCGAAAGACACUGCUAUGGGAAAAACCUUCCGGCAAACUGUGCACAUGGCGCACACACACCUAAUUGGAAUCUAUAUGAGCAAGCACUCGAAGAAGAAUGAUCACUUCCUUAUGCUUAUUGAGAACCAAGGCUGAGGAAAGGUCAAAAAGAGUUCCUAGCGUGAAUUUUUGAGAAGCUGAUUGGGGCCAUUUCAAGAUCAAAUGUGAUGAAUAUUUAUGUAGUAACUGUACAAGUGACAACCUAGGAGAAUUCUAGACCAACGUAAUACAAGGAAUUGCAGCAGCGAUCUGGCCAUCUACAAAGUAUCAUAUUGCUCCUGACUUGGAAAUCUGGUUUCCUGGUGGAAGAAGGAUUUCAAAUUAGCAAUCAAAGAAAGAAAAAAGGCAUACAAGCAAGCAAAACAUAACAAAUAGUAAAAAUUUAAUGAUUAGUAAGGUGGUGAUACAAAGGAUUAUCAAAAAGACCAAAAACAGGAAAAUGGAGAAAGUUUUGUGGGAAAUUAAACAAAGAUUCAAAGCUUUCAGAAAUAUAAGUAAAUUCAAAGAAUGCAUGGAAUUUAAAAUAAAAGUAUACCUGGUCUUAUCAUAAACAAUGAAACAGAGGACUCUAACUUAGAAAGACUGACAUUUUAGCAAAAUAACUCCAAGGCCAGCAGUGAUAUGAAUCAAAACAGUGAGUUUUGUAGGGGGAAAUAGAAGGUUUAUUUAAGAUAAAUGUGAACUAUUAAAGGGUUAGAGAGACACUACUGAUGUGUUAAACAAAAAGUUGAGUGUGCAGAAGCUUAUUGCAGCCACUAGGAAAAGGAAGUAUACAGCUCCAGGCAAAGAUAAUUUAUGAAAUGCUUCAACGCUUGUCAGAAGGGAGUCUAAAGAUUCUGUUGCAGUUACACGAUGAGAUAGGGAAAAGGUCUGCUGCCAAUAGAACUGAAACAAGGAUUGGUGAUACCAGUUAGGAUACUGAGCAAGCUACAUACAAGCCCUGAUGCUUAUAGGCCUAUUUCCAGGGCCAGCUCUAGGCACGUGCUUGGGGUGGCACAUUUUCAGGGGUGGCAUUCCGGCCAACUAGGGGCACUAGUUUUGGUCUUUGUGUCGGUAUAGAGUAUCUCAGUAAUUUACAUCAACAUAUAUAAUGACACUAGGGGGUUGUGCUACACUGAGGGGUUGUGCUAAUUUAACUAAAUCAGUGUGUCUAUCAGUGUAGUUAAGUCAGUCAAAAACUGGGUAUAGUUAGGCCCGUAGAAGUGGUCUACAUUGGGAAUUAGCCUGGUUUCAGCCAUCAGUGUAGCUACAACUCCCUAGUAUGUUUUUUUGUUUUGUUUUUUAUUUCCUACCAUUGGCAACAGUAGAGCUUGCCUCUGCUUGAAACUGGGGCAAAACUCCAGUGGUGUAAAUUGUAGCUUAUCUUCCAGAAGAGGUUUUCACAGGUGAAGCUAUACUGCGGGCCAAAAUCAAGGCUAAUUUCUAAUGUAGAUAAGGCCCUAUUCUCUGUGUUAGAUUGCAGUGUUUUUAACAAUUAUUUAUCUUUCCCAUCCAAAACUAAAUAUAUAAACAACUUCUUGCUGAACAAGCAGAACAUAAUGCAAGGUAUUCAAUCAGUUUUCCGUAACAUAUUGUCUUCACUUAGAUAUUGAACUAGGUAACUGGAAUAUUUUGCUCCUUCAAAGUCCUGGGCCAAAUUCAUUGAUGGUAUAAUUUAAUGGAAAGCAAUAGAUUUACUCUAGAGAUUAAUUUGACUUGUUAACUAAUUAAUCCUCACAACCACCUGUGAAGUAUAUUAGGUAAAUAGGUACUAUUAUCCCUGUUUUACAGGUAGGGAGGGAUUUGACUUGCCCAAAGC